GAUGAACGCUAGCGGCAGGCCUAAUACAUGCAAGUCGGACGGGAUUGAGAUUAAAGCUUGCUUUGAUUUCAUGAGAGUGGCGCACGGGUGCGUAACGCGUGAGCAACCUACCCAUAUCAGGGGGAUAGCCUCUCGAAAGAGAGAUUAACACCGCAUAACAUCAUUAACCGGCAUCGGAUUAUGAUCAAAUAUUUAUAGGAUAUGGAUGGGCUCGCGUGACAUUAGCUAGUUGGAGAGGUAACGGCUCACCAAGGCUACGAUGUCUAGGGGCUCUGAGAGGAGAAUCCCCCACACUGGUACUGAGACACGGACCAGACUCCUACGGGAGGCAGCAGUAAGGAAUAUUGGUCAAUGGAGGCAACUCUGAACCAGCCAUGCCGCGUGCAGGAUGACUGCCCUAUGGGUUGUAAACUGCUUUUGUCAGGGAAUAAACCUUUCCACGUGUGGAGAGCUGAAUGUACCUGAAGAAUAAGGAUCGGCUAACUCCGUG
rnacentral:rRNA from 1 species